GCGGAGAUGGUGGAACUGGCAGACACGACAGUUUGAGGGGCUGUUGAGGCAACUCAUGGGGGUUCAAAUCCCCCUCUCCGCACCA
rnacentral:tRNA from 1 species